rnacentral:rRNA from 1 species
UGGGGAAUAUUGCACAAUGGGGGAAACCCUGAUGCAGCAACGCCGCGUGAGUGAUGACGGCCUUCGGGUUGUAAAGCUCUGUCUUCAGGGACGAUAAUGACGGUACCUGAGGAGGAAGCCACGGCUAACUACGUGCCAGCAGCCGCGGUAAUACGUAGGUGGCAAGCGUUGUCCGGAUUUACUGGGCGUAAAGGGAGCGUAGGCGGACUUUUAAGUGAGAUGUGAAAUACCCGGGCUCAACCUGGGUGCUGCAUUUCAAACUGGAAGUCUAGAGUGCAGGAGAGGAGAGUGGAAUUCCUAGUGUAUCGGUGAAAUGCGUAGAGAUUAGGAAGAACACCAGUGGCGAAGGCGACUCUCUGGACUGUAACUGACGCUGAGGCUCGAAAGCGUGGGGAGCAAACA